GCCAGAAAGACACACUGAUAUUCAGUAGCAGGCGUCUUCAGACAUACACUGGCAGACCACGUCAGAGACUGAGAUAUACACACUUACAGAUACCAAAAUAAACUAUCAGACACAUAUACAUACUGACAUAAACACACAGUCACCCAAUUGAGCAUUUGUGAGAUGUGCUGUAACAACAAAUCUGAUCCAUGGGGGCCCCGUUGCAACUUGCAGAACUUUGCUGCUAAUGUCU